UGCCAGUAUGUACAAAUCUAAAGCAUUUAGCAUGUUGAUAUAUACAAUAUAAUGAUCAUAUGCAAAUUUUUAGUGAGACAUGAAUUUCUCGGCGCGUAAAAUUUCACGUGCAAGCGCGUUACUGCUUUUCGCAUAAUUUAUGAUCCAUAUGGAUCGUAGCACUUCCUCCUCUUACCACUUCCAGCCAGUACUUACCACCAUAUUUGUCCCACCUUUCUCCCUUAGGAUUGGCCUUUGAGUUGGUUUUACUCCUUGAUUCAUGUUUCUCUUAUCCUUCUUUCAUUUUUUAUACACAAACACACCUCCCACACACGUGCACACAAGCUUCUUCCUCAUGGAGAAUCUGAAGGAGAGAAGAGGAAAAGCUGAACUAGAAGAAGAGAGAGGCUAGCUAUGCUUUGAGUUCACAGAAGACACUCACCAUCUUUGUAUGAAAAUUUGUAAGUUUCAGAGACCCAUUUAACAGGUAAAUAGGUUGACCCGAUGAAUUUAAUCCAUUUUGACGGUCCUACUUUUUGAAAUCUCUUCUCUCUCCAUCCCUCUCCUCUCUUUCUCUCUCCACUGCCUUACUUUUCGAAAUCUCUUCUCUCUCCAUCCCUCUCCUCUCUUUCUCUCUCCACUGCAACCACCUCUGGCCAACCUUUGCCAACGCCAACCAUCACCAAUCUCAUCCAAUGACUACGUGGACUCGGCUGGAACCCAUUUCAUUGCAUGAAAUAGAGUCGCUUCCAACGUUGUUGCCAUUGGUGUCCUUGCCACUGUUGCUUCUUAUGUCGCCGUAGCUACCUCCCUCUUCCAGCCUGCUAUUCAGUCACUGUCGCCGGCGGUACGUCGUCAAAGUUGCCACCACGCUGAAAAAGUCCUCCGCGCCGUUAGUGUCUCCAAGAUUUUUUUUGUUUGAAAGUCGUGUAGCUUUAAUCAUGGGCUGUUCAUGCUGAUAUAUACAUGGGCUGUUCGUAUAGUAUUAAGAACAGCGAAAGAAAGGAAAUGGGAAGAAGAAAGGGGGGCGGGAAGAGGGAGGCGGCGCGGUGGGUGUCACUGCCGCCAUCGCCGCUGCUGUUGACAGGAGGAGAGAGGGAGAUAUGAGAGAGCUGAACGGGAAGAGAGGGAAGGAGACCUCGCCGCCAUGCCCAGCCUGUUGCGUGCCCCGUCGCAUCGCCGCCCAGACCGCGUCCAACCCUCACCGCUAGCUGUGCCUCACCGCCGCCCAACUUGCCGUCGCGCCAGCUACCCAUGCCAGAGGAGAGAGAUCAGACAGAGAGAGAUGCAAAGAGGGAGAAGGACUCGUGUCGUUGCUGCUGUGCGUGCAGUUGCCGCCGAGGGAAGCCAGCGCCACCAGCGCGUCACCGUCGCCGAGCCUCAUUGUCGCCGCCGUCGUUGACGAGCCCUGCCACCUCCGUCUCGUGCUCCAUCGCCGCUGCUAGAGGUCCGUCACCGAUCUAAUCUGAGAGAGAGAGGAGAUGUGAACGGAAGAGAAAACGGGGAGCCACCUCCGCUGUUGUUAAACCACCAAAGCUUCUGGCUGAGCUUCUGCCGCCCAAAAUCCGCUGCCGUCGCCGGAAAAAGCGCUGAAGUCGCCGUCGCUGGAAUUCGUCGCCACCACCACCACCAUUAGAGAUGAAUCCAGUUGUUCUCUUGUUGCCGAAGUUUCGAUGUCGCCUUGAAUUUUCAGAGUUGUUUCUGUGUUUGAUUCCAUCAAAUUCGAAUCUGUUGUUGUUGCUGCGAGCGUAAUCGGGGUUGGUGAUGCUGCCAUCGUCCCGGUUGUGUUGGAAUCGCCACUACUGCUAUGAGUUUAGAUUAAGCGGGACUGUUGUGUUAAAUUACGCGAUUGCGACAUCGAGGAGACGGAUGAAAAAGCUCACGAAGGGUUGGUUUGCAUUUCGCUUAGUCGAUAAUGCUGUUUAGUUUUUAUCUAUUUACCCCUCGCCAUCAAUAUUAUAUUAUGCAAGAGGGAUAAGAGUUAUAUGAUUUGUAUGUAUAUAAUAUGUAUGAGUUACUUGAGUAAGAAGUUUCGUACAUGUAUAUGCUUGUUUUAUUUUAUUUAAAAGUAUUCUUUUUCCGAUUUUCAAAAAGAACAGUGAUACGAUUUCGAGUCAAAGGCUCCUAUUUUAUUAUUAAGUAUAUGAAGUCAUCAUAAUACUUCUUGCUAUCAGAGUAGCGCAGCCAGAAGCGUGACAUUCUGAUAGUGAAGGUGUUACAAUUUUCAUCCACUACAUGGCUAGGCAGCUUCAGCAGAUGCUUGAAGAUGUAUGUGAAAGGCAGGACUGCCUUACUUAGUGGCUCCGGCCGGACAUUAAGAAGGCCCUUUACGCCUAUUAGGAUAAUGAUGAGGGGUUCAAGCGUUGUUGAGCCACAAAUAGGGCCAACAGAGCAUCAGCCAAGUCGUUCAAGUAUAAUGGCAGGUCAGCGACUUUCAUGAAGACAAAGUUUAGGCUGUUUAAGUUGUUGCAAAGUGAGGUAACGAUGCCAAAGACCUUGAAGUUUACUCACAUGUUGAAGGAGAGCAAGGAGAGAUUUGCCAAUUAGUGGUAUGCAGAUUAUUAUGAAUCACACAUGCAGAACUUGGAGGCCACAAUCCAACAAUCUCAGCAGAGUGGGAAGGAUGUCAACAACCUUUCUGCUUUCAUCAUCGAUCCUGAUGCGGUAUGACGCCAUACCUUAUUCGAGCCGUACAAGAAACGUGAUGGGAUGGGUUCGUUCUUAUUCUUCACUAGCAACCUACAUAUCUCCACCUUGAGAGCUUUAUUCACCACAGUCACCAGUCCCGCAAAUCCCGAGGACGUCGAUUUGUGGGAGCGAAAGCAGGUUCACAGCCUCACCCAGAGCCUUUAAGACUAAGGUCACCAAUUGCAUCUAGCUAACGAGAGGCAGAAUGAGCUUCUUGCAUGUAUGGUAGAGAGGGAUGCUCACGAUGCAGAGGCAGAGUCCAUGUGGUAAGAGUUUAGGUAGGAGCUAGAGCAGAUCCAACGGAUACAGCACCAAAUGACAAUAUACUAUGGCCAGAUGAGAUCUGGUGGCAGCGCUGCUGCUGUAAGUGGCUCCUCCUUCUCAGCACAGGCACCAAGAGAAGCAUCAACAUGACCACCUAGACCGCUGCCUUAGCAGGACAGGGGGAUAUCGAUGGCAAUGAUUACCAGGACCUAUAAAGACUAGGAUUUUCUUUUGCUUUGUUUGACAAUACUGGUAGUUUAUCUUUUUUACUUUUUCUUCUGGACACUUGUUAUUUCAUAUUAUAGUUGACUAAUUUUAUUAAAAAUACUACUUGAUUUUCACUAAUUGAAUUUGACUAUUAAGUCUUGACAUA